AAAAUUGAAGGUCUAAUCUGCCCAAUGAUAUUUGAAUGGCCGCGGUAACUUGACCGUGCAAAGGUAGCAUAAUUAUUAGUCUUUUAAUUGAAGGCUUGAAUGAAAGAUUGGAUGAAAAAUUAACUUUAUUAAUAUAAAUUAUUUAAUUUAUUAUUUAAGUAAAAAUUCUUAAAUAUAUAAGUGGGACGAGAAGACCCUAUAGAGUUUUAUUUUUAUUUUUAUUUUAAAAUUUAAGAAUUAAUAUUUUUACAAUAUAAAUAAAUUUUUUAUUGGGGUGAUAUUAAAAAUUAUUAAACUUUUAAUUAAUAUUUCAUUAAUAUAUGUAUUAUUGAUCCAAAAAAUUUUUGAUUAUAAGAUUAAAUUACCUUAGGGAUAACAGCGUUAUUAAUUUGAAGAGUUCAAAUCGAUAAAUUAGUUUGCGACCUCGAUGUUGGAUUAAGAAUAAAUUUUGAAGUAGUGUUUAAAAUUAUAGGUCUGUUCGACCUUUAAAUUCUUACG
rnacentral:rRNA from 1 species